rnacentral:rRNA from 1 species
UACGUAGGGGGCAAGCGUUGUCCGGAAUUAUUGGGCGUAAAGGGCUCGUAGGCGGUUUGUCGCGUCGGGAGUGAAAACCCAGGGCUUAACCCUGGGCUGGCUUUCGAUACGGGCAGACUAGAGGUAUGCAGGGGAGAACGGAAUUCCUGGUGUAGCGGUGAAAUGCGCAGAUAUCAGGAGGAACACCGGUGGCGAAGGCGGAUCUCUGGGCCUGUCCUGACGCUGAGGCGCGAAAGCUAGGGGAGCGAACAGG